CCUACGGGAGGCAGCAGUGGGGAAUAUUGCUCAAUGGGCGAAAGCCUGAAGCAGCGAUGCCGCGUGAAGGAUGAAGGCCUUCGGGUUGUAAACCUCUUUCUGCAGGGAAGUACGGUCUUUGUUGUAUGCAGUCGUGUAUUUACGAUACCAGCAAAGGAAGCACCGGCUAACUCCGUGCCAGCAGCCGCGGUAAUACGGAGGGUGCGAGCGUUAAUCGGAAUUACUGGGCGUAAAGCGAGCGUAGGCGGUAUGUCAAGUCAGUUGUGAAAGCCCCGGGCUCAACCUGGGAACUGCCUUUGAAACUGGCAGGCUUGAGUAUGGUAGAGGUGGGUAGAAUUCGAGGUGUAGGGGUGAAAUGCGUAGAUAUCUGGAGGAACACCGGUGGCGAAGGCGGCUAACUGGACUAUAACUGACGCUGAGGUGCGAAAGCGUGGGUAGCAAACAGGAUUAGAUACCCUUGUAGUC
rnacentral:rRNA from 1 species